rnacentral:lncRNA from 1 species
CGCCCAGCCAUUUUGCACUAGGAACUCGGUCUGAAAUUCCGGGAGGAGGCCUCUGCGUGCGGCACCCUGUGAUCCAGUGAAACUAGACUAAGCACAAACCGAGAAAUGAAGGUUGUCUUCAUAUUCAAGAAGAGGAAAUUAUGCAUAUCAUGUACCCUAGAGGAGAGAAAUCCCGGAGGCCACCUCAAGAGUUAAUGUCCUGAUUCAGUAAGAAAUGACCAGAGAACUCCAAAACAAUUUGAGGCAUAGAAUUGUAAUAUUCAACAGGUUAGUAAUGAGAGAGAGAGAGAGAGACAAAGAAAAAGUUUGAGAAAAUAAUCAUGUGUUUGCAUACCUAAUUUUGGAAUUCAGGGGUCUCAGCCAAGAACUCACAAAGGUAGUGGAAAAAUUAUUUUUCUCCUCUCAAGGGAAAAUCCACAAAGGUGGGCAGAGAACCAGAGACAAGUUUGCCUUGAGGUAAGUUACAAAAUCUGCUUUACCCUUUGGUUUUCUUUGCUUUAUAGACUUCUGGGAAUAAAGAGCAAGUCCCCAAACCAGAAGAAGAUCAAAUAAGAG